rnacentral:rRNA from 1 species
CCUACGGGUGGCAGCAGUGAGGAAUAUUGGUCAAUGGGCGAGAGCCUGAACCAGCCAAGUCGCGUGAAGGAUGAAGGAUCUAUGGUUUGUAAACUUCUUUUAUGUGGGAAUAAAGUGAGGAACGUGUUCCUUUUUGUAUGUACCAUAUGAAUAAGCAUCGGCUAACUCCGUGCCAGCAGCCGCGGUAAUACGGAGGAUGCGAGCGUUAUCCGGAUUUAUUGGGUUUAAAGGGUGCGCAGGUGGUUAAUUAAGUCAGAGGUGAAAGUUUGUGGCUCAACCAUAAAAGUGCCGUUGAAACUGGUCGACUUGAGUGCAGUAGAGGACAGCGGAAUGCGUUGUGUAGCGGUGGAAUGCAUAGAUAUAACGAAGAACUCCGAUUGCGAAGGCAGCUGUCUGGUCUGUAACUGACGCUGAAGCUCGAAAGCAUGGGUAUCGAACAGGAUUAGAUACCCGGGUAGUC